UACAAAAGCACUAGCGGAAAUUACACAAUAACCAUUUUUAUUUUCUUCCUUUCUUUGAUUUUGAUGGAUCCACAGAUCUAAUACUUUGAUACCCACAUGAAAUUCUCCUUCGACUUUAAAAGUUAGUGCCUUUCAAGAACUAGUCAAAUUUCAAGUGCAUCUAGAGAAGGAUACAAUUUUCUGCUGGGUUUCUGGGACAGUUUGUUUUGGGUGCUUAUUAAAUGUGGAUAUUCGGAGGUUUCUUUGGAUGAGAUGAGGGAUGUUAUCUGGGUUGAUGAACUUUUUGAGAGCCUGUUUUCGGCCAAGGUCCGAUCGAUAUGUGCACAGCAAUUCGGAUAGCAGUGGUCGCCAAGAUGGGCUAUUGUGGUACAAGGACCAUGGGCAGCAUUUUAAUGGUGACUUUUCAAUGGCAGUAGUGCAGGCCAACAAUUUACUUGAAGAUCAGAGUCAGAUUGAGUCAGGCAAUUUGAGCUUACACGAGUCUGGCCCUUACGGUACCUUUGUUGGAGUUUAUGAUGGACAUGGGGGACCUGAGACAUCGCGUUAUAUCAAUGAUCAUCUGUUCCAGCACCUCAAGAGGUUUAGUACAGAGCAACAGACAAUGUCCGUGGAUGUGAUACGGAAGGCAUAUCAAGCAACAGAAGAGGGUUUUCUCUCUCUUGUUACAAAACAAUGGCCUAUGAAACCACAAAUUGCAGCUGUUGGAUCAUGUUGCCUGGUUGGUGUUAUCAGUGGUGGAAUCCUUUACAUUGCCAACCUUGGUGAUUCCCGUGCUGUCUUGGGUAGAGCUGUGAAGGCAACAGGGGAAGUUUUAUCUGUUCAGCUCUCAUCUGAGCACAAUGCUAGUAUAGAGUCUGUGAGACAGGAGCUGCAAUCUUUGCACCCUGAUGAUUCACAGAUUGUAGUUUUAAAACAUAAUGUAUGGCGUGUAAAAGGACUCAUACAGAUCUCCAGAUCUAUUGGUGAUGUGUAUUUGAAAAAGGCCGAGUUCAACAGAGAGCCUUUAUAUGCCAAGUUCCGUCUUCGUGAACCUUUCAAAAAGCCAAUAUUAAGCUCAGAACCAUCAAUCUCGGUGCACCAGCUGCAGCCGCAUGAUCAAUUUAUUAUAUUUGCAUCUGAUGGUCUUUGGGAGCACCUUAGCAAUCAAGAAGCGGUUGAUAUAGUACAAAAUCAUCCACGCAG
rnacentral:misc_RNA from 1 species